UUUUGUAGUGUGUGAAGAAAUAUUAAUAUUUUUCCAGCUAAUAUUUUAAUAGUUGUCAUAUGAAAAAUUGGGUUCUUGCAUUGUGGCAUUGUAGUUGGUGUCACCAUAUGCUACAAGUUCUUUGGUCUGCUAUGAAAUUGUCUGCUCUCGAACAGCCAGAUUUUUCUGUGUAUACAGAUAUUUGUUUUACUUAUAGCCCAAAAUAUUAAAGUUCAGACUCGUAGAGGGUUGCAAUUUUCUUUCCUGUGUGAAUUACAAGCAGAUCUUGCAGAAUUCAGCUGGAUCAUUUGCCCUUUGAAUAACUAAUAAAUAUUCUUAACU